AUUUUAAAACAUUUAAUAUCUCCUAAAAAUAAAAUAAAAAAAUUGUUUUAAAAUCCUUUAACACAGCUUUUUCAUCUCAAUAACCCUAGCCCCUCGUCAUCUCAAUAACCCUAGCCCCUCGUCUUUGUCUUUCUUCGAUCUGUAGACAGAACAUCCCUACUAAUAUAAUAGCUCGUUAAUCGUUUUUUAGUUCUAGUUCACAAGACACACAACUACAGGUGUAGAUUAAAAUUGCAUAAGGCCGUCCACCUCCAGCCACCCCGUCGUUUGACUCCUUCCCUCUGCCGACUCAUCUGUAGCGAUCGAUUGUCAUCAUCCCACAACUGCAACUUCUUCCUACUCUCUCUCCACCGGCGGCUCCAUCAUCCAUCGCCAAAAUCGGUUUAUAGCUUUUGUCGGACAACAAAAUCCUAGUCCCUGUAUGUUCUAGAAAUCAAUUUCUGAUUUUAAACCUAAUUUAUGAUUUUGCAAUCAAAUUGCUUUUGAGAAUGACAUGCUAAUCGAUUUCCAAUUCUGCACUAUUUGUGAUGUUUUUGAAUUUCGAUUUUGAUUGGUCAAAUGGUCAUCACCAAUAUACAAAAACAUACCAAAAGUCAUCGCUCAAAAAGGGGCAUUACAUAUGUUAGCCGAUGGAGCUAAAUGUAUUCACUCAGAAUUACAUUCUUCCAUAAUCUCAUUCUCAUAGAAUCUUAUUGUUGUAAGAAUGAUUUGUUAAAAUUUACUAUUUUUCUAUUAUAUAAAAAUUUCAACAUUGUUAAAUUGCAAAUUGUUGGUUUGUUAAGUUUCAUCAUCUGGGAAUAUGAUUGCAUGUUGCAAGUACCUUGCUUUUAAUUCUUUAAAGUGGCAAUUAAAGCUCUAACUAGCAGAAUGUAUUGUAUGUAUUCUGUUCGAAUGUAUUCUAUAUAUUCUGUCAGAAUGUAUAAAGUGAUAGAAAUUGCAAGUAA